rnacentral:lncRNA from 1 species
AGUGGCGGGAUCUCGGCUAACUGCAACCUCCCCAUCCCGGGUUCAAGCGAUUCUCCUGCCUCAGCCUCCCGAGUAGCUGCGAUUACAGACAUUUGCCACCAUGCCCGGGUCCACUUACAGCUGGAUUUACUUCCACCUCUGCCACCUGUGAGACAGCGAGACCAACCCCUCCUCCUCCUCUUCCUAGCCUACUCCGAGUGAAGAUGAUGAAGAUGAAGACCGUUAUGAUCCACUUCCACUUAAUGAAAGAUG